rnacentral:rRNA from 1 species
CCCUUAGAUGUCCGGGGCUGCACGCGCGUUACACUGAUGCAUUCAACGAGCUUAUAACCUUGGCCGAGAGGCCUGGGCAAUCUUGUUAACGUGCAUCGUGAUAGGGAUAGAUUAUUGAAAUUAUUAAUCUUGAACGAGGAAUUCCUAGUAAACGCAGAUCAUCAAUCUGCAUUGAUUACGUCCCUGCCCUUUGUACACACCGCCCGUCGCACCUACCGAUUGGAUGGUCCGGUGAAGCCUCGGGAUUGUGGUUCUUGCCGCUUUAUUGUGGCGUGACCGCGAGAACUUGUCUAAACCUUAUCAUCUAGAGGAAGGUGAAGUCGUAACA